AAGAGUGAGGCAAAAGAGCAGCAACCCAGCUGCACUUCUGUUGUAGUUGUACAGGGAGGCAGAUGAUCCUCAUGAGAGCCAGGGUCUGAAUGAAUACUUGUCUGUCUGCUCUGCUUCUCUGCUGUGUUACAGUGAGUCAGGCAUUUAUCUGUCCAUUCCUGCUACUCUGUGCAAUAAUGGAAGGAUGUUUGAAGGAAGUCAUCUGACAACACUGGGCUUCACUGUUCCACCUGGUCCCCCACUUUUGCUGCUGAUGCUGCAAAUGCUGCUGAUGGAGAGAGGAGUCAUCUGCUCAUGGCACAUUCCUCCACAGAUUGUUUGUAAGGUGUUUGUCCUGUCCAGAUAAAGGCAGAGUUUCCCAAUCCUGUAGCUCAGGAAAAAUCUAUCCUGAGUCUGGGAUUUAAGAUCAAGCAUGGGAUUGUUUGUCUGCAGAAUUGCUGAUGUGCUUAAAGUGGCCAGACUGUCCAGAAGGAGAAAGACUCAUACGACCUCCUAUCAAUUUUCAUGCUGCAGUUGUUCUCCCAAGAAAAUAUGGUAUUUUGUUUGCUCUAGGUUUGAAAAUAAGGCAUUGUGAGGAGUUGGUAAUGCAGAUAGAUGUUCAGCUUUUGCUGAUUUCUUGUGCGUUCCUGGGAGACUGACUGAUAUCCAUCCAAAUCUAGUGCCUCCUUAAAACUUUAAAAAAAGCAGAAACAAGACUCUAUCCAACUUGCUCAUUCUCUUUCUUCAUAUGGAGAAUAGGAGAAGAAUAUUACAUAUAUUUACUCAUAUGUGCUUGGUCUUGGCCUAAUGAGGUGAGAGGUACAGUACAGAAAUCACCUAGAAGCAAUGUUUUAUUAGACAACUCUUUAAACAUUCAGAGAAUAACAAAAUAAUUUCAAAGCACUCUCUAAACGAUAGAUAAUUGCAUUCAUAUUAUUAGAUGAAUAAAAGCACAUUAUUGAUAAUAGCUUCUGCCAUAGUAUCGAACACCUGCAUUCAGUUUGCAUAUUUGGAGACAAAUUGUGCAGAUGGAGGCCAAGAGAAUACAGCACAAGGAGUUGAGCACUUCUUAACAUCAGAGAAUAAUAUGCGGUCAUUUUUGAGGAACUGAUGUAGAGGUUUAUACUCCUCUCCUUUUUCCACAUUCUCACACUCUUAUUCUCUCCUUCAGGCUCAGAUCAUCCAUAAUAAAGGUGUUAAAAAUCCUCUCCUCUUUUUUUGUGAAAAGCGGAACAUUUCUUACUGCUCCUUAUACAAACUCAUAAUCAGUGAAUUUGUAAUACUGUCUUUCAACUGAGCAGACAUCUCCAACUUCUUGUUAUCUUUACCAUUAUCUUGGGGCAGAGUUAUUUGAGUCACAGUGACAGAUCAUUCAUAUCUCCUUCUGGACAUUAAAUUAAUUUGAAAACUGAUUUUUGUUGUUGUUAGUUUUCUGUAAGUAAAUAUACUGACAGGAGUUUUGUUUACACUGUGGGAAGAAGAUACAUUGGCUGCUAGACCUAUGAACUUAUUCUUCCUCAUCUGCAGACCUUAAGGAGUAAAAAAAAAAUAAGGUAAUGAUGUCCUUUGCUGAGAAGCUGACACUGGAUGCCAAGGGACAGCUUGGACUGAAGAGCACAGAUAUGAUAAAAAGGAUUUUGAGUUUCUUACAAGAUCUUUCAGAAUAAAUAAAAGAAUCCCAAUGAGAUGAUCUGUCAAGAAUGUAAGAAAAACAACAAAACAAGGGACCAUUAAAAAAUAAAGAAUCAGCUCAGGUCUGAAAACAAGCAGAUGAUGAGGAAGAAGAAAACAAUGUGUACCAAGGUCCAAACGUGUUCUUUCUGUCAGAAAACUCUUCUGAACACUUGCCCCAUGCUGAGCCUACUCUGGAGGAUCUCUCUGUCACAGAAGCCAGCAGGACAUCCUGCAGGAGGAAGGUUCUCUUGGGCACAGCCCUGACAGCAAAACUGGUGCAUGAAAUGGAGAUGGCUUCAAUGUUUUCCAAGCUAAGACUUUGGUUUAUGAGAUAACUAUUCCCAUGAGUAAUGCCCUUCUCUGUGCAUGACAAUUUACUGCAUCCUUGGAACUGAGUAGUAUAGUAUGUAUAUCUUUAUGAUUUACUAUGGAUGCACAUAGAUUUUAG
ensembl:lncRNA